rnacentral:lncRNA from 1 species
UUAUAGCACUGAUGUUGCCUCUGCCUAUGUCAGGAGAUACUAGUGGCCUGAGGUAAUUGGUAGAAUUGCCAAACUCCAGAAGACAAAAGUUAUCAGUAAUACUGAUAACAGGCACUGUGUCGUACUCCCUGUGUGGCUGAGCAACUUCAAAAUGUUAAUAGAUGGUAAGACAGUCACCUAAGUGCUACAGAAGUCUGUUUAUUUCAUAAAGAAUCCAGCUAUGCCAGGCUGAUGGGCAGUGUCCCAUUAGAUCACUUAGAGAUCCAGGUCCUUUAUCCUCUGACUGCCACUCCCUGUGUGUGGUGUUAUCCUCUGCAUGGUUGUGCUUUGUGUCAUUGCUACAUUUUUACUUCAGCAUAGGAAGGGAAGAAAGAAAUAGAUUAUUAAUUAGACAAGAAACUUUUCCUCAAGUCGGAAGUAAUGUAAAAUGACACAUACUGCGUGGAGACAGCCUGGCGCUAUAUGUGGUCUCUGGGUGGAUGAUUUCACGGCAAUCCUAAGUAUGAAGAAUGGGGGUUGGGGAUAUUUAGACAAUGACAUUUAAGCAGUUUGCAGUCGCUAGGUCUACAUCACAGAUAGGUCCUAUUGUCCUCACUUUGCACCUGAGGCAACCCAAGUAGCUUGACCAUUCUCACACAGGUAAUAAGUGGUAUAGGAGGAACUUGAACCCAGGCACAUGGCUUCUGACUGUGUUCUGUGUCGUCAUAAUGACCUCCAUGAUAUACUUGGGGUUCCUUUCAAAUAUAUUUAAGUUAUGGACCUUGAGAUGGUGAGAUUCUCAGAGUGAACUCAUCUGAUUGGGUGUUCUUGAACUGGAAUAACAUUUCCUGGAAGUGGUCAGACAGAGAUGCUGUAACUGGACUUGAAAAGUGAGGACUUGACCAUGUGUUGCUCCUUUUAAAGGUGGAGGGAGAGGCCCUUGGCCAGGGAGUAAGGUAGCCCCUGAAAGUUAGGAGCCACCCUCAGCCUGCAGUCCCCAAAGGGAACCUUGAUCCUCAACAUCUAGGAUCUAAAUCUUGCCAUGCAGCCUGCAGACUGCGGAUAUUUCUCAGAGUCUGUGAUGUUUUAGAAUAGAAACUCCGUUCUGCUUCUCUGAUAGCCCUGGACACCUGAAGUAUACAGAACCUUCUCAGCUUGGCAAUACUCUAAAGCAACAGAGACCAUCAGAAUGGACUGUCUAAUGCAGUUCCAGAGUCCAAAAAUGCCUCUCAAGUAUGCUUCACUGUGCUUGGAAGAGGGCACAUGCUUGCUUUUGGGAAGGCUUUCUUGCUAUAGACCUGGCCUCCAGACUACCAGAGCUUUAUAGCGAUGACAUAUGCCACAGUCCCAUAUCAGUGCAUUCUAGAUCACCUGCCGCUUCUAUUCAUCAGGUCAGAUCACUUGAGUCACAGACUAGUAUAUUGUCUUGGUGGGUGACAGAUAAGAUCCUUGUCAGCUGCUAUUCUCUACCAUUGGACAAAAGAAUAAAAGCAUUUUCCAGAUCAGUAGCUGUGUGCCAGUUUCCAGGAGCUGUUUAUUGGCUACAGUAAGAAUAGCAUCUGGAACAGCAGCUGCAGUUAUUCAAUAUCUGAUGAGGCUUCAGCAGUGUACCUGGCACACUGCUCUCUUCAGCCCAUUCUUCUACAGGCCACGUAAAAAUAGCCUGUGAGAGCCAACAUUCUAGGCCUUGAAGUCAGUGGUAACUGCAGUUUCUGAGAUGCCAUAGGAGUUGGGUACUGUUUUUAAGUAGCUUUAAUUUGCCUUCCUCAAUUGUCCCAGGGGAUCCUGCCUGUAGCAAAAAAUAAGAAUGCUUAUUGUGUACACAGGGAUGUGAUAUGAAGCAGUGCUCUGUCUGGGUACCCUGCAGGAAACUAUUCUGAGCUGUGUAUGGUGGCACAGGCCUGGAAUCCCAGCACUCAGGAGCCUGAGGUAUUAAGAGUACUGUAAGUUUGAUACUGACCCUGUUUCAGAAGUAUCUCGCACACACACGCACACUUGCACGCACACGCACACCUCUC